rnacentral:rRNA from 1 species
AGAACGUCGUGAGACAGUUCGGUCCCUAUCUUCCGUGGGUGUAGGAUACUUGAGAGGAGUUGCCCCUAGUACGAGAGGACCGGGGUGAACGAACCACUGGUGGACCUGUUGUUGCGCCAGCAGCAGUGCAGGGUAGCUAUGUUCGGACAGGAUAACCGCUGAAGGCAUCUAAGCGGGAAGCCCCCCUCAAAACAAGGUAUCCCUGAGAGCCGAGGUAGACCACCUCGUCGAUAGGCCAGAGAUGUAAGUGCAGUAAUGCAUUCAGUUGACUGGUACUAAUUGCUCGAUAGGCUUGAU